AGAGCGAACGCUGGCGGCAGGCCUAAUACAUGCAAGUCGAACGGACCCUUCGGGGUUAGUGGCGGACGGGUGAGUAACACGUGGGAACGUGCCCUUUGGUUCGGAACAACUCAGGGAAACUUGAGCUAAUACCGAAUGUGCCCCCAUCCUUAAACAAGAUGGGUGGGAAAGAUUUAUCGCCAUUGGAGCGGCCCGCGUCUGAUUAGCUAGCUGGUGGGGUAAUGGCCUACCAGGGCGACGAUCGGUAGCUGGUCUGAGAGGACGAUCAGCCACACUGGGAUUGAGAACGGCCCAGACUCCUACGGGGGGCAGCAGUGAGGAAUUUUCGUCAAUGGGGGCAACCCUGAACGAGCAACGCCGCGUGCAGGAAGAAGGUUUCGGAUCGUAAACUGCUUUUCUCGGGAAGAGAAUGGACGGUACCCGAGGAAUCAGCCCCGGCUAACUACGUGCCAGCAGCCGC
rnacentral:rRNA from 1 species